GACGGGCCCCGCACAAGCAGCGGAGCGUGUGGUUUUAAUUCGAUGCUACACGAAGAACCUUACCUGGGUUUGACAUGUACGUAGUAGUGAACCGAAAGGGAACGAGCCUUCGGGCAGCGUACACAGGUGCUGCAUGGCUGUCGUCAGCUCGCGCCGUGAGGUGUUGGGUUAAGUCCCGCAACGAGCGCAACCCUCAUCGCUAGUUACAUGUGUCUAGCGAGACUGCCAGGUUAACCCUGGAGGAAGGUGGGGAUGACGUCAAGUCAGCAUGGCCUUUAUGCCCAGGGCUACACACACGCUACAAUGGUCGGUACAAUGGGAUGCCAAGCCGUGAGGCGGAGCAAAUCCUCAAAGCCGGCCUCAGUUCGAAUUGGAGGCUGCAACUCGCCUCCAUGAAGUCGGAGUUGCUAGUAACCGCAGGUCAGCUAUACUGCGGUGAAUACGUUCCCGGGGCUU
rnacentral:rRNA from 1 species